rnacentral:rRNA from 1 species
CAGGAUUAGAUACCCUGGUAGUCCACGCCGUAAACGAUGUCUACUUGGAGGUUGUGCCCUUGAGGCGUGGCUUCCGGAGCUAACGCGUUAAGUCGACCGCCUGGGGAGUACGGCCGCAAGGUUAAAACUCAAAUGAAUUGACGGGGGCCCGCACAAGCGGUGGAGCAUGUGGUUUAAUUCGAUGCAACGCGAAGAACCUUACCUGGUCUUGACAUCCACGGAACUUUUCAGAGAUGAAAAGGUGCCUUCGGGAACCGUGAGACAGGUGCUGCAUGGCUGUCGUCAGCUCGUGUUGUGAAAUGUUGGGUUAAGUCCCGCAACGAGCGCAACCCUUAUCCUUUGUUGCCAGCGGUCCGGCCGGGAACUCAAAGGAGACUGCCAGUGAUAAACUGGAGGAAGGUGGGGAUGACGUCAAGUCAUCAUGGCCCUUACGACCAGGGCUACACACGUGCUACAAUGGCGCAUACAAAGAGAAGCGACCUCGCGAGAGCAAGCGGACCUCAUAAAGUGCGUCGUAGUCCGGAUUGGAGUCUGCAACUCGACUCCAUGAAGUCGGAAUCGCUAGUAAUCGUGGAUCAGAAUGCCACGGUGAAUACGUUCCCGGGCCUUGUACACACCGCCCGUCACACCAUGGGGAGUGGGUUGCAAAAGAAGUAGGUAGCUUAACCUUCGGGAGGGCGCUUACCACUUUGUGAUUCAUGACUGGGGGUGAAGUCGUAACAAGGUAACC